UUUGCGGUGUGGGAUGGGCCCGCGGCCUAUCAGCUUGUUGGUGGGGUGAUGGCCUACCAAGGCGACGACGGGUAGCCGGCCUGAGAGGGUGUCCGGCCACACUGGGACUGAGAUACGGCCCAGACUCCUACGGGAGGCAGCAGUGGGGAAUAUUGCACAAUGGGCGCAAGCCUGAUGCAGCGACGCCGCGUGAGGGAUGACGGCCUUCGGGUUGUAAACCUCUUUCGCCAGGGACGAAGCGCAAGUGACGGUACCUGGAGAAGAAGCACCGGCCAACUACGUGCCAGCAGCCGCGGUAAUACGUAGGGUGCGAGCGUUGUCCGGAAUUACUGGGCGUAAAGAGCUCGUAGGUGGUUUGUCGCGUUGUUCGA
rnacentral:rRNA from 1 species